GCAAAGGGUCUAGAUUUAACAUUUGUAACAAUUUUGGCCAUCCUGCCUGUCUUUUCGCAAGGUGCAAACACACAGUGGUCACUGAAGCUUUAUCUCUCUUUCGAAGCAUACAAGUAUAGUACAAGUGUACAGCCCACGAGUCUAUCCGUGCAAGCUAGCUGGGCCAGAAACUUUAUUUCCAAGAGAAAAGAGCUGCGUACCAAAGCGCAAUUAACU
rnacentral:lncRNA from 1 species